rnacentral:rRNA from 1 species
AACAAACGCUGGCGGCGUGCCUAAUACAUGCAAGUCGAACGAGGAAAGCUUUCGGGUGAGUACUAGUGGCGCACGGGUGAGGAAUACAUGGGUAAUCUGCCCUCGAGUUGGGGAUAACCAGUCGAAAGAUUGGCUAAUACCGGAUAAGACCACAAGAUCUGCGGAUCAAGGGGUUAAAGGUUUUUCGCUUGAGGAUGAGCCCAUGUGGGAUUAGCUAGUUGGUGAGGUAAUGGCUCACCAAGGCGACGAUCCCUAACUGGUCUUAGAGGAUGAUCGGUCACACUGGAACUUAGACACGGUCCAGACUCCGACGGGGGGCAGCAGUAGGGAAUAUUGCACAAUGGGGGAAUCCCUGAUGCAGCGAGGCCGCGUGAGUGAUGAAGGCCUUCGGGUCGUAAAGCUCUGUCGUAUGGGACUAACACAAUGAAGGUACCAUGCAAGAAAGGAUCGGCUAACUUCGUGCCAGCCGCCGCCGUAAAAC